rnacentral:rRNA from 1 species
UCGUAGUUGGAUUUCGGAAGGUCCUUAGCAGUCCGCCCCUUCGGGGAGCGGGUUGCUGGCCUCCUAUGUUCCUAACGGUCCUCAUCCGCGAGGGUGGGGAAUCAACCGCUAGGAUCGUUUACUUUGAGGAAAUUAGAGUGUUCAAAGCAGGCGUAACUCGCCUCCGAAUACGUUAGCAUGGGAUAAUGGAAUACGACUUCGGUCUUGUUUCGUUGGUUUCGCUUGGCUGAAGUAAUGAUUGAUAGGGACAGUUGGGGGCAUUAGUAUUUAGUUGUCAGAGGUGAAAUUCUAGGAUUUACUAAAGACUGACCAAUGCGAAAGCAUUUGCCAAGGAUGUUUUCAUUAAUCAAGAACGAAAGUAGGGGGAUCGAAGACGAUCAGAUACCGUCGUAGUCUCUACCGUAAACUAUGCCGACCAGGGAUCCGGAGAGUUUGCAUGGAUGACUCCCCGGGCACCUUGUGAGAAAUCAUAAGUGUUUGGGUUUUGGGGGGAGUAUGGUCGCAAGGCUGAAACUUAAAGGAAUUGACGGAAGGGCACCACCAGGAGUGGAACCUGCGGCUUAAUUUGACUCAACACGGGGAAACUUACGAGGUCAGGACACUGUGAGGAUUGACAGAUUGAAAGCUCUUUCUUGAUUCAGUGGGUGGUGGUGCAUGGCCGUUCUUAGUUGGUGGAGUGAUUUGUCUGGUUAAUUCCGUUAACGAACGAGACCUUAACCUGA